rnacentral:lncRNA from 1 species
GGGCCACUUCUGUGAGAAUUUUGAAGGCUAAAUUCUCUAAUAUACUCACGGAACCAAGAGGUGUUUCAAGGCCAAAAUGAACACAAACGUGAGAACCAACUAUGUCUGAAGAGAUAUUUUGUGAAUUCUAUUGUCUUGGUUUACACGAAAAGCUGACAGUUCAAAGACAUCAAGUAUACUGAUUAGCCAAGUAAAUCUGAUAGAUUUUACUAGGGCAAGUUCAAAG